UACAGAGGAGCCAAGCGUUGUCCGGAUUGACUGGGCGUAAAGCGCACGCGGGCGGUCGCGCGCGUGGGGUGUGAAAUCUGGCCGCUUAACGGCCAGGCGCCAUCCCAUACGGCGCGACUCGAGCCAUGCAGAGGGCGGUGGAAUUGCCGGUGUAGUGGUGAAAUGCGUAGAGAUCGGCAGGAACACCCAGGGGGGAAACCAGCCGCCUGGGCAUGCGCUGACGCUGAGGUGCGAGAGCGUGGGGAGCGAACCGG
rnacentral:rRNA from 1 species